rnacentral:lncRNA from 1 species
ACAUAUCAUAAAAUAAAUACAUAGUUUUUUUUUUUUUUGAGAUGGAGUCUUGUUCUGUUGCCCAGGCUGGAGUGCAGUGGCACAAUCUGGGCUCACUGUAGCCUCCCAAGUUCAAGCAAUUCUCCUGCCUCAGCCUCCUGAGCAGCUUGAACUACAGGCAUGCACCACCACACCCAGCUAAUUUUUGUAUUUUCAGUAGAGAUAGGAUUUUACUAUGUUGGCCAGGCUGGUCUCGAACUUCUGACCUCAAGUGAUCCGCCCACCUCGGCCUCCCAAAGUGCUGUGAUUAC